rnacentral:rRNA from 1 species
UACGUAGGGUGCGAGCGUUGUCCGGAAUUAUUGGGCGUAAAGGGCUCGUAGGCGGUUUGUCGCGUCGGGAGUGAAACCCAGGGCUUAAACCCUGGGCUGGCUUCCGAUACGGGCAGACUAGAGGUAUGCAGGGGAGAACGGAAUUCCUGGUGGUAGCGGUGAAAUGCGUAGAUAUCUGGAGGAAUACCGGUGGCGAAGGCGGCGAUCC